GGAAUAGCUCAGUCGGUAGAGCAUGAGACCCUUAAUUUCAGGGUCAUGAUUCAAGCCUCGUGUUGGGCCA